rnacentral:rRNA from 1 species
GGGUUGUGAGGUUAAGCGACUAAGCGUACACGGUGGAUGCCCUGGCAGUCAGAGGCGAUGAAGGGCGUGCUAAUCUGCGAUAAGCGCCGGUAAGGUGAUAUGAACCGUUAUAACCGGCGAUACCCGAAUGGGGAAACCCAGUGUGAUUCGUCACACUAUCAUUAACUGAAUCCAUAGGUUAAUGAGGCGAACCGGGGGAACUGAAACAUCUAAGUACCCCGAGGAAAAGAAAUCAACCGAGAUUCCCCCAGUAGCGGCGAGCGAACGGGGAGGAGCCCAGAGCCUGAAUCAGCAUGUGUGUUAGUGGAAGCGUCUGGAAAGGCGCGCGAUACAGGGUGACAGCCCCGUACACAAAAGCGCAUGUGCUGUGAGCUCGAUGAGUAGGGCGGGACACGUGGUAUCCUGUCUGAAUAUGGGGGGACCAUCCUCCAAGGCUAAAUACUCCUGACUGACCGAUAGUGAACCAGUACCGACUCCCUUUCCGCUUUUCUUGGGGCCGCUCCCCUCACUUUUUCUUGGACUUUGGCACAUGCAUGUUCGUCACCCUCGCCCACCACCAAAGCAUUCUCUGGUGUUGAAGGCCCUGCAAAGCAGCAUCGCGGUGGCGGAGCGUCGUUUGCGACGCCCAACACACAAAACAAGCGGUGAAUGCUUUGGGGUGGGGUGACUGCGUACCUUUUGUAUAAUGGGUCAGCGACUUAUAUUCUGUAGCAAGGUUAACCGAAUAGGGGAGCCGGAGGGAAACCGAGUCUUAAUUGGGCGUUAAGUUGCAGGGUAUAGACCCGAAACCCGGUGAUCUAG